UACGUAGGGUGCAAGCGUUAAUCGGAAUUACUGGGCGUAAAGCGUGCGCAGGCGGUGAUGUAAGACAGGUGUGAAAUCCCCGGGCUUAACCUGGGAACUGCAUUUGUGACUGCAUCGCUGGAGUGCGGCAGAGGGGGAUGGAAUUCCGCGUGUAGCAGUGAAAUGCGUAGAUAUGCGGAGGAACACCGAUGGCGAAGGCAGCCCCCUGGGCUAACACUGACGCUCCGGCACGAAAGCGUGGGGAGCAAACAGG
rnacentral:rRNA from 1 species